UUCAUGUUGGGAUUUCUGGUUGGAAGGCCAGGUGGAAUGUUGGGGUAGGAUGCCAGGUUGGAAUGCAGAUGGGAUGUGGGGUGCAAUUUCAGGUUGGAAUGCCAGGUUGGGAUUUCUGGAUGGAAUGCCAGGUUGGGAUGUCAGGGUGUGAUGCCAGGCUGGGAUUUCAGGUUGGAAUGCCAGGCUGGGAUUUCUGGUUGGAAGGCCAGGUCGAAUUUCAUGUUGGGAUUUCUGGUUGGAAGGUCAGGUGGAUGUCGGGGUGUGAUGCAGGUUGGAAUGCCAGGUGGGAUGUCAAGUUGGAAUGCUAGGCUGGGAUUUCAGGUUGGGAUUUCUGGAUGGAAUGCCAGGUUGGGAUGUCAGGGUGUGAUUCCAGGUUGGGAUGUCAGGUUGGAAGGCCAGGUGGAUGUUGGGGUGGGAUGCAGGUUGGGACAUUGGUCAAGAUGCCAGCGUGGGAUGCUGAGUGUGACUCCAGGAGUGACUCCAGGAGUGACUCCAGCUGUGACCCGAGCUGUGCCCCCGUCCCCU